rnacentral:rRNA from 1 species
AGCUCCAAUAGCGUAUAUUAAUUCUGUUGCAAUUGAAAAGCUCGUAGUUGGAUUUUUGGAUAACAGCGUACGGUGUGCCGCGAGGCAUUUUUACUGUAUGUGUUGUUGUCUAUUCUAUUUUUUGUGCGGGUAAGAGAUGGCUGGAUGUCUUUCGGGGCGUUCGCUGUUGUUUCCGCGCAGUUUACUGUGAAAAAAUUAGAGUGUUCCAAGCAGGCAAUUGCGCUUGAAUACAUUAGCAUGGAAUGAAAAAAUAGGAAUUUGGUCUUAUUUUGUUGGUUUCUAGGGCCGAAUUAAUGAUUGAUAGGGACAGUUGGGGGCAUUAGUAUUUAAUUGUCAGAGGUGAAAUUCUUGGAUUUAUGAAAGACUAACUACUGCGAAAGCAUUUGCCAAGGAUGUUUUC